rnacentral:rRNA from 1 species
CGUAGCCACGGUAAUACCAGCAGCCCAAGUGGUGGUCGCGUUUAUUGGGCCUAAAGCGCUCGUAGCCUGGCCGGUAAGUUCCCCGUGAAAUCGGGUCGCCCAACGAUUCGGCUUGCGGGGAAUACUGUCGGUCUUGGGGCCGGGAGACGCCGAGGGUACUCCGGGGGUAGCGGUGAAAUGCUGUAAUCCUCGGGGGACUACCAGUGGCGAAGGCGCUCGGCGAUAACGGGCCUGACGGUGAGGGGCGAAAGCUGGGGGCGCGAACGGGAUUAGAUACCCCAGUAGUCCCUGUCUCUUAUAC